CCGGCGCACACCCGCGCACCCCGCGCACCUCGCGGCUGCAGGAGGGCCCAGCGCCGCCGCCUGCCCACUCCCAGGGCCCGGCCCGCCCCGGCGCCCGUGCUCUCGGGGCGCACUCCCGGACCUCGGCGCUCUCCCGCCUGGCGAUGGCCCUGCUCGGAUACUUCUUAUUCCUCUACGGCCUGGAGCAGGCGCUGGGCAGCUACCCGAUCUGGUGGUCGCUGGCCGUAGGGCCGCAGUACUCGUCCCUGGGCACUCAGCCCAUCCUGUGUGCCAGCAUCCCUGGCCUGGUCCCCAAGCAGCUGCGCUUCUGCCGGAACUACGUGGAGAUCAUGCCCAGUGUGGCGGAGGGCGUGAAGAUCAGCAUCCAGGAGUGCCAGCACCAGUUCCGUGGCCGCCGCUGGAACUGUACCACUGUGGACAACAGCCUGGCCAUCUUUGGCCCUGUGCUGGACAGAGCCACACGGGAGUCUGCCUUUGUGCACGCCAUCGCCUCUGCCGGCGUGGCCUUCGCUGUGACGCGCUCGUGCGCUGAGGGCACGGCGGCCAUCUGUGGCUGCAGCAGCCGGCACCAGGGCUCGCCGGGUGAGGGCUGGAAGUGGGGCGGCUGCAGCGAGGACAUCGAAUUUGGCGGCAUGGUGUCUCGGGAGUUUGCCGAUGCGCGGGAGAACCGGCCAGACGCCCGCUCCGCAAUGAACCGCCACAACAACGAGGCCGGCCGCCAGGCCAUCGCCAGCCACAUGCAUCUCAAGUGCAAGUGCCACGGGCUGUCGGGCAGCUGUGAGGUGAAGACCUGCUGGUGGUCGCAGCCCGACUUCCGUGCCAUCGGCGACUUCCUCAAGGACAAGUACGACAGCGCCUCGGAGAUGGUCGUGGAGAAGCACCGCGAGUCGCGCGGCUGGGUGGAAACCCUGCGGCCGCGCUACACCUACUUCAAAGUGCCCACGGAGCGCGAUCUGGUGUACUACGAGGCCUCGCCCAACUUCUGCGAGCCCAACCCCGAGACCGGCUCAUUCGGCACGCGCGACCGCACGUGCAACGUGAGCUCGCAUGGCAUCGACGGCUGCGACCUGCUGUGCUGCGGCCGAGGCCACAACGCGCGCACCGAACGGCGCCGCGAGAAGUGCCACUGCGUCUUCCACUGGUGCUGCUACGUGAGCUGCCAGGAGUGCGCGCGCGUCUACGACGUGCACACCUGCAAGUAGCGCGCCCUGCGCGGGGCUGCCCACACGGCAGCGGCGUGCGCAGCUGGAGUCCUGGGCGGGGGCGGGGCUCCUCCCAGGAUGGGGGCGGGGUCCCUAGCUAGGGUCCUGGACGGGGUAGAGGCUCCUCCGGGACCGGGACAGGGGUCCCCAGCUGGGGUCCUGGACAGGGGCGGGGCUCCUCCCAGGACGGGGGCGGAGGUCCUCCUGACAGGGGCGGGGCCCUCAAGUGGGGCACCCGGAUGGGGGCAGGGUUCGCCCUGAAAGCGCUAAUUUCCUUCCUCGAUGGGGCGGGGCUCCUCUCUGGGGGCGGGCCUCCGGGUGGGGUUCCUGGAUGGGGGUGGGCUCCUCCCUAGUAGGGCAGGGGUGGCGGGGGGAGUAUGGGGGUCGUGUCCUUAGACUGGUUCUGGUUUCUUCCUUGAAUGGGGCGGGGCUUCUCCCUGGGGGCGGAGUUCCAGGACUGGGACUCCUGGAAGGGAGGAGGGUACCCUGUGGUAGGGCCCUGGGGUUCUACACGGGUGCAGGACUUCUUGGUGGGGGGUAGGGUUCCGUGGGUGGGCUUCCGCGUGGGGAGGGGUCAUCUCUGGGGACGGGCUCCCAGCGGCCGUGCUCCUCCCCACCAGCACACCUGUGAGAUUUCAAGCCACUUGGCCUGCGCGGAGCGGAGACCCUGCAGGCUGGCCUGUCUCCUCCCAGCCCUUCCUCUAGGCCCUGUGAUCCAGCCUCCAAGUCGGGUGCUCCGGGACAGUUAAGGGGUCUGGAGGCCUUGUGGCACUCCUCCGUCAGCUGUGCGUCUGCCGUAGCCCCAACCAGGAGCCCCGACCAGAGAGCCAUCACCCGGCCGGGAACCUGGACGGGAUUGAACCAGUCUUGCCUGGGGAAAACACGUGGGGCCCAGCCGCAGAGGGGCCUGGACCCAGAGGCCUGGCCCUGCCCCUGCUGCUGUGCGCCCUGGCCUCGGACCCCUGGGCCCUCUUCCUGUGGCGCAGCACCACCCCAGGCCCCCCCCCCCCUUGGCUUGACCAGCCCAGAUCUCUACUUUGCCACUGAUGGAAAGUCUCACCGCCUGGCCUGCCCUCCCCCCUGGCUCCUAGGCUCACUUCGAUUUGGGUUGGGUUGUUGGGGAGGGUUGGGAGGGUGAGUCCACACCCAUGCUGCGGGGGAAGGCCCCUUGGUCCCCAGAGGGGGGUCUCCCUCCCACCGCCCCCCAUGUCCAGGACUGACCCCCCCCACCCCCAGGCCUGCUGCUGUGGCUGUGGUGUCCAGGAGUCUGUGGCUGGUGGCUCCUCUCCUUCUGACUCAUCCACCCUGCCUGGGAACAGGAGGCGGAGGGACCUCCCCCCCCGGUGGCUGCCAGGCAGAGACCUCUCCUUGCCCAGCCUCUGCCACUGUGAAAUGUUUCUCAGCCCUGGCCGGAGGACACUCGCCCAGGCAGGGGGAGCAAACGGUGCGGCACCAUGACCUGCACGCCUCUGGGGACACCACCUCCCUCGGCCUGGAAUUCUGCAUUUGUGGUUUUAAUGUUAUUUCCAAUGCUGCUACAGCCACCAUACACUGGAGCAAGACAAACAGCUGUGUUGUUGUUGUUUUCCUUUUCUUUCUAUGAAAGAAAUCAUUGCAGUCAUAGCUUGUGAGUUGCAAACAAUUGGGGGGGAAGUAAAAAACAAA